CUGCCAUGUGUCCAAGACAAGCAUUGCGACCACAAAUUGUCUCGCCACCACGAAGAAGGAAGGUUGCAAGUUUGUACCAGUCCUUUCAUCUUUGCUUAUCACCUGCACAUGCUUCAGAAAUGAGAUGAUAGCUACAGCAAUCUGAAAUGCCUGUUGAACGAGAACACCUCUGACAACAGUUCCUUUCGAGGGCAAAUUCUUGGUUUCUUCCUCCUUCCUGGAGUGCAGCCGGUACUUGUCGAAGCAACCCAGCAGCAUGUAAAGGCCAGAGUACACCCAGUAAACUAGAACAGGUACAAAGGUUCCUAACAUCUCAUCAGAUACCUUGUAAGCCAUUCCGUUGUUUCUGAAAAUUCUGAAGAGUACUUGAGAAGCAAAGGAUGGUUAUUUCUUUAAGCUUCAGAAAGAAAACUCUCUUCUGUUCUAUUUCUUUCUCUCUCCUGAUGAUUUCUGAUGCAGAAUGACCGUCUUGAAGGGCUGCUAUUUAUACAGGACCCAAAGCUGGCAAAACGGAAAUAUGCCAAUAGUUUUUUCCAUGGGUUCGCUGCUUCAACUGUACCGUCAAAACGAAGGAAACUAGAGAUUGGCUAGAGGUGAGUUUUUAAUCUAUGGAGAAAGUUCACUUGACUGGUGAGAUUACAUGGAAAUAAUGGAUAUGAUGAUUAGAAACUAUUCUUUGUUAGAGAGAAAACAGGUGGCUGUAUCUUCCACAUAUGGCUUGACCGGCUGGACCCACUGGAUUCUUAAGUCUGUGGGCCAACAUCCUGUGGGCAGGGCAGUCAACUGAGGUAGUUUUCCUUGGUAGAUAGAUUCUGUAAGUUGGAACUACUUUCCAAGUUAUGAGAGGCUACUGUUCCUUCUGACGACACCUUUAGUUGAUCUGUAAUUCCCACAAAGUCCAACUUUCUAUAACCUCAAUGCAUGAGAUUUAGGGGUGUCAUCCA